UACGUUCCCGGGCCUUGUACACACCGCCCGUCACACCACGAAAGUCGGUAACACCCGAAGCCGGUGGCCAACCUUGUGGAGGGAGCCGUCGAAGGUGGGAUCGGCGAUUGGGGUG
rnacentral:rRNA from 1 species